UAGGGAAUCUUCCGCAAUGGGCGAAAGCCUGACGGAGCAACGCCGCGUGAGUGAUGAAGGUCUUCGGAUCGUAAAACUCUGUUAUCAGGGAAGAACAAAUGUGUAAGUAACUGUGCACAUCUUGACGGUACCUGAUCAGAAAGCCACGGCUAACUACGUGCCAGCAGCCGCGGUAAUACGUAGGUGGCAAGCGUUAUCCGGAAUUAUUGGGCGUAGAGCGCGCGUAGGCGGUUUUUUAAGUCUGAUGUGAAAGCCCACGGCUCAACCGUGGAGGGUCAUUGGAAACUGGAAAACUUGAGUGCAGAAGAGGAAAGUGGAAUUCCAUGUGUAGCGGUGAAAUGCGCAGAGAUAUGGAGGAACACCAGUGGCGAAGGCGACUUUCUGGUCUGUAACUGACGCUGAUGUGCGAAAGCGUGGGGAUCAAACA
rnacentral:rRNA from 1 species